UGUCACUGUACCGGGGGCUGCAACGUGGACAGCACCCCUCACUUCUAAGUUCAACUGCAGACUGGAUGGUGAAGGGCAGAAGCUGAGGAGGUGGAAGUGCAGAUUUGGAGCCUCUGGACCCGACAGGACCCUAUAACUCUUAUUAACUGAAUUGGAUGGAGCUAAAAUAAAGACAUAAA
rnacentral:lncRNA from 1 species